UACAGAGACCUCAAGCGUUAUCCGGAAUCAUUGGGCGUAAAGCGUGCCGAUAUGUGGUUUGGUUAGUCUUGGGUGAAAUCCCGAAGGUCAACUUCGGGUUUGCUUAAGAUACUGCCAGACUAGAGGGGCAAAGAGGAGACUGGAACGAACGGUGUAGUAGUGAAAUGCGUAGAGAUCGGAAAGAACACCAACGGCGAAAGCACUCUGCUGGGCCGACACUGACACUGAGAGACGAAAGCUAGGGGAGCGAAUGGG
rnacentral:rRNA from 1 species